ACUCUCCAAUGAUGAGGAAAUGGAAUUGGCACUGUUUACAGUGCCUGAAACGCAUGAAGAACUAUUCCAUGCUGCCUUCCUUCUGAGGU